UACGGAGGGGGCUAGCGUUGUUCGGAAUUACUGGGCGUAAAGCGCACGUAGGCGGCUUUGCAAGUUAGAGGUGAAAGCCCGGGGCUCAACUCGGAAUUGCCUUUAAAACUGCAUCGCUAGAAUUGUGGAGAGGUAAGUGGAAUUCCGAGUGUAGAGGUGAAAUUCGUAGAUAUUCGGAAGAACACCAGUGGCGAAGGCGACUUACUGGACACAUAUUGACGCUGAGGUGCGAAAGCGUGGGGAGCAAACAGGG
rnacentral:rRNA from 1 species